UCUUAUCAAGAGAGGUUGAGGGACUGGCCCGAUGACACCUCGGCAGCGGAAUCAUUUGAUUCUGUGCCAAAUCCAGCAAGCAAAGCUUGAAAGAUGAGA
rnacentral:ncRNA from 1 species